ACUGAGCAAGAUGGCCACCUCCUGGUGGUAAGUCUCGCUCCUGGAGUUCCCAUCUUGACCCUACAGCGGGACAUUUUGCCGCCACCUCUUUGUGUGUUGGGAAGAUGACGUCCUUUCUGCUCGUCCUGCUUCUCUGAUUGAUCUGUGUCUCUGGAGAUCCCUUUGCUCAGCCAUCAGAUCAAGCAGGCAUCCAUGGUUCAGAAUGGUGAUGACCUGGGCAAGAGCUCACCAGUAAGGAGCAAAGGGGCCCGCCUGCCACUCUUAAGCAGAGCGCCUGCUGAAUCAGGAUUUCCAAGGCUCCGGCUGAGUGCCUGGCUGGGGGCUGUGUGUGCAGAUGCCACAAGAUGGACAAGACUGAGGACGCAGAUUUCCUACAACAGCAGACUUCUGAUGCCCAGGCCUCAGUUCUGAACUCUGGAGGCUACAACCUGGCCUGCUUAUAGACGGUGGACCAAAUGAAGGUGAAGAGGAGACGGGUGAGGAGAGGACUGGGUGGCAGGGACAUAUGAUCUGGUCAGGGAACAAGAACAAGCAAGUGGCAGCACUAAGGGUUCAACACAAGGAGGGGCUGAGAAGAUUGAGGCAUGAGCAGGGUGGCGGGCAUGGUUUGUGACUCUGCCAGAUUCAGAAGGUUAGGGAUGAGGGACUCACCCUGAGUUGUGUUUGCCCAGGAAGCCCAGACCGGCUGAGCAGGCCAAGCCCA
rnacentral:lncRNA from 1 species